GUACGGAGGGGCUAGCGUUGUUCGGAAUUACUGGGCGUAAAGCGUACGUAGGCGGCUUUGUAAGUUAGAGGUGAAAGCCUGGAGCUCAACUCCAGAACUGCCUUUAAGACUGCAUCGCUUGAAUCCAGGAGAGGUGAGUGGAAUUCCCAGUGUAGAGGUGAAAUUCGUAGAUAUUGGGAAGAACACCGGUGGCGAAGGCGGCUAUCUGGACCGUAACUGACGGCGUGAGGCGGCGAAAAGCGUGGGGAGCAACAGG
rnacentral:rRNA from 1 species